AUCGAACGCUGGCGGCAGGCCUAACACAUGCAAGUCGAGCGAGCGGCGGACUGGUGAGCAAUGUAUGGGGACCUGCCUGAUGGCCGGGUCUAACUACUGGACACGGUAGCUAAUACUGCCUACCAUCCUAUGAACCCAUAUGGGAUUAGCUUGUAGGUGUGGUAUCGGCUCACCUAGGCGACGAUGCCUAGCUGGUCUGAGAGGAUGAUCGGGAACACUGGGACGUAGAAACGGCCCAGACGCCUACGGGAGGCAGCAGUAGGGAAUAUGGCGCAAUGGGCGCAAGCCUGAUGGAGCCAAGCCGCGGGAGUGAAGAAGGCCUUCGGGUUGUAAAGUACUUUCAGCGGGGAGGCGGUACCUGAAGAGGAAGCAACGGCUAACUACGUGCCAGCAGCCGCGGUAAUUC
rnacentral:rRNA from 1 species